UUUGUUGGGAAUCGGGGUUUUGGGGGGUUUCCUUUUUGCUGCUGUUUCAUUCCUUAUCCACCAGAUGGCGUCUACAGGCGGAGGUUUCUCUGGAGGGACUGGCCUUGGUUCAGCGCACCGGUGUUUAAUCACCUCUUCAGUCAUGGAGCUUAAGAGGAGCGGACUACCAGUACUUCGUCGCUUGAGUGUUAGCCUAUAUGCUAUUCCUUCGUGACGCCAAGCGGCCUCCUUGAAGAAUCCUUCCUGGUUUGACUCACCUCGAGACACCACCUACCCACGGGUUGCCCGAGCCCCGUUUCCGUUCCUUCGGCCGGAUCUCAAAGCCUCUUCCGGAUUAUUCGGCGGAUUGUGGAUCCGCUCCUCGUCUGUCCUCCACCACUGAAACCACUGGCCCGCUCUCUGCCGCAGCCUCCUCCGAUCCUCCUGGACGCCACUCGAACUUACUGUAAGCCCAAGACCCGGUAUCCACCGGAGUGCCUCCAGGACUGUCAUCAUCAUUUUCCCAAUGUGCGGACCUCCCCCAGAAGCCCUCUCCUGACAGUUCGUCGUUCUAUCCACCGAAUCUGUGUUUACAUUAAUAAACUAUAUUUUGCUGA